AUCUGUGACCUUUGGCCUAACUUGUCUCUAAUUGCUCAAAAUUACAUGAAAUCCCACUUCCUUGUUUGUCUUCAAGAGGAAGUUUCAAUGCCCACUUUGAGACUACUUUGUGGCAUUGUGUCUGAAAUGGGCUCUGAGAUUUCCAAGGCUGGCAAUGAGUGGCCAGAGCUGAUGGAGUUUCUGUUGAACUCUAUUCAAUCGGAUUAUGAAAAGUUGCAACAAUGUGCAUUAUGGGUGUUGGCUUAUUUGCCAAAAGGGUUCCGUCCGGUUGUUUGUGAAGCUUUGGUUCCUAGCCUUGAACCUUUACACUCGGCAAUAUUACAAGCCUUGAGUUCCUCCAAUGCUGAUAUUCAGGUUACUGCAUUUGGUGCUGUGGUUAGUUUGAUAGGUUUGUUUACGAGUUCAAAGGGGCGGAACUGGUUUAAUGACCUUUUGAGAGCAAUGAUGGUGGGACUGUUUAACUUGUUGAGUCACUUGAAAGAAGAAUAUGCUCGUGGGGCUGUCAAUGAGUUAAUAAUGCUGGUCAUGGAUGAGCCUCAGAUGUUGAAGCCAUACCUUAACCAUCUAGUACUUGACAUGCUUAAUGUGCUAGAGUGUAAAAAAGUGACAGAUGAAACGAAACUGUUUGUUGACAAGUUCUUGCUCGCAAUGGCAGAAGCCACGGAUUUGGCACCUAUGAUGAGAGAGCUACCUCAUGAAACAAUGGUUAGGCUAUAAAGGAGGACAAUGCAUGGUACAACACGGAAAGCGAGCAGGGUGAGAAUGAUGGAAAGAUGGAUGUAUACAAAUCUGGAAUUUUGUUCCUGAGAAAACUUUCAACGGCCUUAGGUGAAAAAAGAAUACUUCCUAUAUGUUUUGAAUUGUUCUUAGGGCACAUGGAGGCUACCGAGUGGAAGAAACGUCAUGCAGGGAUUUCUUUGCUAGCAGUGAUUGCCGAAGAGUGCUCAGAUGAAAUGGUUAUGAGGAAAGACUGUUUGGACCAAGUUACUGCCAUUAUUUUGAAGUCAUUCAAAGAUCCUCAUCCUCGAGUUUGUUGGGCAGCUUUUAAUUUUAUGCAACAGCCUACAAAUCUGGUCCAGGCAAUGCAAAUACUCUAUCAUUUGAAGAUUGUCUAUGCACUGGACGCUGCACUUGACCAACACCGGAACCCAACAGUCAAGGAACAAGUUGUCUCAGCUUUACAAUACUUGUUAAAGAAUGUUCCUUCAGAUAGCAUACGAAUGCACAAAGACUUGGAUACUAUAUUGUGGAAGUUGCAGAAAGAACCACAGGGGUUUUAACUGAAUUGGGUAGACAUGUCUUAUAACAAUCUUUAAAAUUCAUAAAACCAAUCAGAAUGCGUCAGCUUUAAGGAAUAUGCAGCUAUAAGUACAAUGUGGAGAUACAAAUGAAAUGCUGCACUUCUUCUAGUCCCGGAAGUAGUAUCAAAGAGAUUCCUUUAGUUCACAUUGAUAGCUAUCAAAUUCCUUGAAUAAGUUCUUGAGCAGCUCAGCUUUUGUGUAUUCAUUCACCUUAAAUCAGUGCUAGUUCCCAGUUCUUGUACGUACCCUGUAAUUCCUGCAAACCAAUAUGAGGAGAGUAAUUUUAG